rnacentral:misc_RNA from 1 species
UGAUUCCCGCCAAAUAAUCUCAGG